rnacentral:lncRNA from 1 species
AUCUAGGGUAUUUUCUCUAAUACAAUCCAGAUUUUUUCUUAUUUUCUUCCCAAAAUUUGUUGGAACAGUACAAAAGAUUUAGCGCAGCGUUUUUCAUUUUUAUUAUUUUGUCAUUGAAAAAAAAAUGUUCACGGGUACCAUUCACACCCAAGAAAAAAAUUAGUUUUAGUAUUUUUCAGUUUUUGGAGGAAAAAAAAUCAGAUUGCUAUACCUGCUAAGAUUUCAAUUUUUGCUGCUGUUUUGUUCCACAUUUAUCAUAUACUCGACAAAUUUGCAACCCUAAAAGUCCACUAUUAUUCAAGAAUCCUAAAAUCAGCUAUAUUAACCCAAUCCCGUUAGCCUGUUAGCCCACGUCCACCAUUACUAACCCAUCCACAAAUUAACUCUAGCCACUUACACCAAGCCCACUACUCUCUGGAAUCCACCCACCUUACAAAUAGGACAUUAAACCGACCCAAUACCAUCCAAACCCAUUACUCUCUCAGAACUCAGCCAACAACCCAGCCUAACUCUUUCAUCUUCUCCAAUCAACCUAGCUUCAAGCCAGACACGUAUCUUCGACCAGAUGCCAGCCAUAUCUCCAAUAGGAACUCGAGUUUGUUCCCUCGCUUUCGCCAGUCACCUUCACCACCACAACAAUACCCACCAUUACAGCCGCCGUCACCAUCACCCUCGACCAGCAAGUCACACUGUCGCCACCGCUCAAUACUCAUAGCAAUUCACUGCUGGCAACCCUCACCUUGCCAUCACCUCACAGAAUCGACACCACUCCAUUACAUAUCCACAAAACCUGCAACCCACAUAUUUCAAUACACCAACCAACCUGCAGGCACAUAGGCUAACUUCGCAGUUUAUCCUCAAGUAUACUGUAUUGGCUGUGUAUUGAAAUUGAAGUCGACCACGUAGACUGAUAUUUUGGAAAUGAGACGAGUUGCAAAGCAAGUUACUGAACGGAUUACUGAAGCCUCAUAUAUGCAUGAAUUGGAAUAGGAAUAUUGAUCACACUACUAAUGAUUUGACUGAGAUCUCGUGAGUACAUCGCUGACAAAUCAAGCUUCCGUGGGCCUCGCCUUUGCAAUCGGACAACGGGGAGUUCUUGACCUCUAUUUAUUAUUAGUGUACACUACUGCUUUAUUUAAAAUUGUAUCAUUUAAUUUUUGCGUUGCUGUUAUUUGAUAAUUGCGGCCUUAAAAUCCACUUGAUCGGAAUUCGUGAAUUAACCCCCAUUGUUCCCCGAUUACCCCCACGUGAUUCGACCUUUUGAUUAGUCAUUU